rnacentral:tRNA from 1 species
GUCAGUGUGGCCGAGUGGUCUAAGGCGUGUGACUUGAAAUCACAUCUCUUCGGAGGCACAGGUUCGAGCCCUGUCGCUGACG